rnacentral:rRNA from 1 species
UACAGAGGUCUCAAGCGUUGUUCGGAUUCAUUGGGCGUAAAGGGUGCGUAGGUGGCGCCGUAAGUCGGGUGUGAAAUUUCGGAGCUUAACUCCGAAACUGCAUUCGAUACUGCGGUGCUUGAGGACUGGAGAGGAGACUGGAAUUCAUGGUGUAGCAGUGAAAUGCGUAGAGAUCAUGAGGAAGACCAGUGGCGAAGGCGGGUCUCUGGACAGUGCCUGACACUGAGACACGAAGGCCAGGGGAGCAAACGGG